rnacentral:rRNA from 1 species
CAGUCGCCACGGGAACACGGAGGGGGCUAGCGUUGUUCGGAAUUACUGGGCGUAAAGCGUACGUAGGCGGCUUUGUAAGUUAGAGGUGAAAGCCUGGUGCUCAACACCAGAACUGCCUUUAAGACUGCAUCGCUUGAACGUCGGAGAGGUGAGUGGAAUUCCGAGUGUAGUGGUGAAAUUCGUAGAUAUUCGGAAGAACACCAGUGGCGAAGGCGGCUCACUGGACGACUGUUGACGCUGAGGUACGAAAGCGUGGGGAGCAAACAGGAUUAGAUACCCCAGUAGUCCCUGUCUCUUAUAC